rnacentral:sRNA from 1 species
CCUGGAGCGCGGCAGUGAUGGCGGGGCCGGUGAAGGACCGCGAGGCCUUCCAGAGGCUCAACUUCCUGUACCAGGUGAGUCUGCGACAAGGGCCCCACGGGGACGGUGCUCGGCGUCCCAGAGUGACUGCUCCCUUCCCGCAGGCCGCCCAUUGUGUCCUUGCCCAGGACCCCGAGAACCAGGCGCUGGCGAGGUUUUACUGCUACACUGAGAGGACCAUUGCGAAGCGGCUCGUCUUGCGGCGGUGAGACAGCCACGGGGCGGGCGGCGGGCGGGACGCGGGAGGAACGCGAGAGGGAGCGCGGGCGCCAGACCACUAUCCUCCUCCGCCCCCAGGGAUCCCUCGGUGAAGAGGACUCUUGUCGAGGCUGCUCUUCCCUCCUCGUCCCAGGCCUCACCUGCACCCAGCGCCAGAGACGCUGCAGGGGACAGCGCUGGACCGUACAGACCUGCCUAACAUGCCAGCGCAGCCAACGCUUCCUCAAUGAUCCCGGGCAUUUACUCUGGGGAGACAGGCCUGAGGCCCAGCUCGGGAGCCAAGCAGAUUCCAAACCACUACAACCCUUGCCAAACACAGCCCACUCCAUUUCAGACCGCCUCCCUGAGGAGAAAAUGCAGACUCAGGGUUCCAGUAACCAGUGAUGGAUUCACCCCAUCUCCCAAAUAAAGUUUACUUGUUUUACAUUCCA